GCCAAAUGGCAGUGGACAGCAGAGUCUGGAGCCAGAGUUUGUUUUUCAGCUUUCCAUCUGGGGAGCUGUAAACAAGGCAAUGGAGUAUUUGAAAACAAACCUGCCCCACCCCGAACGGCUGUCAUGACAUUACGCAAAACAACAGAUUUUUCAUCGACUGUCCAUCCUCCAGAAAGGAAAGGCAGCAUUGAGGCCAAUGUACUGGGCGGCAGUGUAAUAUAAUAGUUGGGCCCGAGCCAGGCUCUGUUGCGUCCUUCAGGAGGAGAGAUUCUCGCUGGUGAUUUCCGGGAGACGUUCAAACCGGCCAACUUUUUUCUAACUGACGGCUUACGACAGUCAUAACGUAGAUUACAGAAACUUCCCCCUGACAUUUUGGUUGAGGAUCCCAGGAAUGGUCUCCCAAGCAUCGGCCGAACCCAGGCCACAGAAAAAUAGUGGCAGGUAGCUGCAGAGGCAUGGACAGACACUACCCUUAGCUUUCUGAAAUCUUCACAGAGGCCGCAAGGACGCCAGAGUGCCACCGAGGCCAAACCGGAGGAGGGGAGGUGCUGCCAAACUGACGAACCGCCAGCUGCCCCCCACUGAGCGGGCCUGUGUGGGAGUUUCCGACAGCCAACAGAAAGUAUCACCUGGGACUGACUGUGGGUGUCCACAGGUCAUCAGGCCCUAACGGGAGUUCUUGCGAGCCAUUAGGACCGAGUCGAUUGUGUGGGGCCUGGCUGCAGGUGUUCCUCUCUCCCGUGGAGCGAGAGAUUGGACUAGCGUGUUUACUGAGUGGGAGAUCGAGAGGCUUAUUUGCGUGGUGGCUCAGCUGGUCCUCCAACCAGUCAAUGAACUCCCUCACCGUCCCGAGAGUCGGUUAAAGAAACCGGCUAAACCGAGCGGCUUCUGCUUUUACCCUCCCGGAGCGUUUUCCCCCAUUAAUUCCUAGGAAUACAUUUUAAUUCAGACUAAGAAACAACCAGAAAUAGAGUCUUUAUUCCACAGCAGAGUAUGGCCUGAAUCAGGGGAAGUGAAAGUCUGAGAAAAAGGAUGAAAGGGUAAUGUUACAUUACAUUACCGGCAUUAGCAGAUGCUGUUAUCCGGAGCGACUUACACAACAUCUAUUUUGUUACAUAGCAUUUAUAUUGCAGCCAUUUAUACUGCGGGAUAUAUACUGAAGCAAUGCUUGUAUAUUGCUAGCACUCUCCUCAAUUCACUACAUUCAUUUGAGCACUUUCCUUUACCUAGAAACCAGGUUUACUACAGAAAACAGCAUGGAAGGACGCUAGUCAGAAAUUGUAGCAGACUGUUACAGGGUUAUUGUGGAUGCAGUGACCCCACCACUUGCCACCUACACCAAAGUGCAUGUCAGCGACACACCAAAGUGAGUGUCAGGCAGGACAAUGGCUUAGAUGGUGGAGCUGAAACAGGAUAGCACAGGAGCAUGCUGGGUAAUUUCCCUGCAACAUGAAAGGAUAUGAGAAGUGUGUCAUGUGACCGGACGAGCCGAUAAUGUCUCCUGGAGGGAGAGUCACCCCUUUUCACUCAGGCGGUCACUCUGGUGGCUGGUAGUGAUUUUUAUUUGGGGAGGGGGGGGGGGCAGGGGAUGGUGCACAAUGCUUUUGAGCUUUGGAACCAGUUGCCUGUGAUGUAACAUAAAAGGAUUCAGGACCUCCCAUUUUUCAGCCCGGGGGGUUACAUAACCGGAGAUAAGUAUAAGGGAAGGGGACUGCAUGUAACUCUGGACCUGCAUAAAAUAUUAAAAUACCUGAAAAACGGCCUCACUUGCAGUGCCUCAGUCUAUAGUCCA